UUUCAAAUGCAGUUUACAGUUUAUUAUGGUAUUGGACACCCCAUGCUCCUUACUGCAUUGGCUUUGGGUAAGAAGGAGUGAAAAUUAGUGUGCGAACCUGAAAACCUAGAAUUUCUGAUUGGGACUGAAGAAAACCUUUGUGCUGCAGUCAGUCCCCGAGCCAGACGCCUGUGACUCUCUUCACAUGGAAAUAGAUGACUAUCCACAGUAAAAGCAAAAUUAAAAAGUGACUUGUGAAAAAUAUCCUCCAUGCUCCUCUUACCAAGCCUGCAACUUAAAACCUAUGGUUUAAACUGUGCUUUCAAUUAUCUGGAGGAGGCCAGCACUGAUGAGCCCAUCCUGAGCCAGUCAUUUUAAGGCCAGUGCUACCUAACUGAGACAAGGCUAAUCUGGUCGCCUUGCUGUUAGAGGCUCUUUCCCAGAAGUUGGACGAAGAGGCUCAGGCGUUGCUGUUUCUUGUCUUCCAAGUCAAGUGGUUACUCUGGUAAUGGAUUGCCUCUCUCCGAGGUGAGUGUAAGUAAUUUGGGGACAGAUCUUGAUUUUCAGGUUAGCUCAAUCUCAGCUUUGGGG
rnacentral:lncRNA from 1 species